AUUGAACGCUGGCGGCAUGCCUUACACAUGCAAGUCGAACGGUAACAGGUCUUCGGAUGCUGACGAGUGGCGAACGGGUGAGUAAUACAUAGGAACGUGCCUAGUCGUGGGGGAUAACUACUCGAAAGGGUGGCUAAUACCGCAUGAGAUCUACGGAUGAAAGCAGGGGAUCGCAAGACCUUGUGCUACUAGAGCGGCCGAUGGCAGAUUAGGUAGUUGGUGGGAUAAAAGCUUACCAAGCCGACGAUCUGUAGCUGGUCUGAGAGGACGAUCAGGCACACUGAGACUGAGACACGGCCCAGACUCCUACUGGAGGCAGCAGUGGGGAAUUUUGGACAAUGGGCGCAAGCCUGAUCCAGCAAUGCCGCGUGCAGGAUGAAGGCCUUCGGGUUGUAAACUGCUUUUGUACGGAACGAAAAGCCCUGGGUUAAUACCCUGGGGUCAUGACGGUACCGUAAGAAUAAGCACCGGCUAACUACGUGCCAGCCGCCGCCGUAACAC
rnacentral:rRNA from 1 species